CCUACGGGAGGCAGCAGUGAGGAAUAUUGGUCAAUGGGCGCGAGCCUGAACCAGCCAAGUAGCGUGAAGGAUGACUGCCCUACGGGUUGUAAACUUCUUUUAUAAAGGAAUAAAGUGCGGCACGUGUGCCUUUUUGCAUGUACUUUAUGAAUAAGGAUCGGCUAACUCCGUGCCAGCAGCCGCGGUAAUACGGGGGAUCCGGGCGUUAUCCGGAUUUAUUGGGUUUAAGGGGCGCGCAGGGGGAUGAUCAAGUCAGCGGUAAAAUUUAGGGCCUCAACCUCUUCGGGCCGUUGAAACUGGUAGGCUUGAGUGAGUGAGAGGUAGGCGGAAUGCGUGGUGUAGCGGUGAAAUGCAUAGAUAUCACGCAGAACUCCGAUUGCGAAGGCAGCAUACCGGCGCGCGACUGACGCUCAUGCUCGAAAGUGUGGGUAUCAAACAGGAUUAGAUACCCUAGUAGUC
rnacentral:rRNA from 1 species